CCUCCUCCCCUCCCUCCCUAGUCCUCAGCAUGCAGCUCUCUGGCUGAAUCCCAUCACCGCUCCAAUUUCCCCUUCACCCGGGCAGCCCCGCACUGAACAGAAACUCCGCAGAAUGGCCCCAUUGUAGACCAGACAAACCAAAAUAGCAGCAUCUUCUGUUCUCCGCCUUAGAGAGAUUCACUUAAAAUCCCGAAGUCCCAGAUGUGGACGACAAUGGAAGCUGUUGUUGCAAAUUAGUGAUCCUGGAACAGCUGAGAGGAAGAAGAAUCCUGGCCUAAUGAACUCCUCAAGCUCUCUUCUUUGGGAAAUAGGAAGAUCACAAUUUGAAAUCUUAAUACGAGGCUUUUAGGCUCCUUAUCAACACAAGAAUGGACAUCAAGUUACUUACAUAUUGGGCCAAAAUAUUGAGUGCAGAUGAAAAUAAAUGCUGACUUUGAAGAUUUCCCAUCCAGCCCGCAGAAAUUCCCCUGGCCUGCCACACUUGGGUAACUUGAGUUCUGGAAUUCCAGACGUGGUUAACCCCAAUCCACAAAUUUGCUGGAGUUAUGAAGCUGAGUGAGAGUACUGCUUUUCUAUUAUGCAUUCCCAAUAUGUUCUGUUCUGAGCUGACACCACAGAAUUUACUUCUCCCACAAGUUUAACCCACUGCAUGGAGUGAUCAUGGCUCACUGUUUUUUGGUAAAUACCAAAAUACAGAUAACAGUUUUUCACAGUACAAAUUUUAUAUCUGACUUGGCUGGAAACUUCCCCAGUCACUCCGUCUAGUUGCCUCAUUUUGUUGGGCCUUGGUUUCUUUCAGUUUCCUACUAAAACUUACCUCUUUGGGGAGGCAUGAGUAUCAAUGCUUGGCUACCAAUCCAGGUAAGGCCUCUGAAUGAAAGGUGAUAUGGAAGGGCACAAACGAUCUGGAUACCUAUCCCCUGGGAAAGUCCAGGCCUCAGGCCACAGCAAUGCCACAGCUUCUGGAAGCUGCCUGGGAACUGAGGUUUUAUUCUCCUGUGUGUGUCUACAUGCCUGGAGUGUUGACUCUGGAGACCUAUGAAUACAGUAAAUGACAUCAUAGGUAGCUCAGGUCAAUGAAGAUUUAUUUUUAGCUAUGACCCUUGUCUGUUAAAUGAUCUGAAUUUAAAAAGAAAGAGGACACGGAAGAAGGAAAAGAAAUGUGAAAGGCAAUGAAAGAAUGUAAGAUUCCUGCUUGAUCUUAAAAAGCACUAGAGCAAAAGUCAAGCACAGCUUUCUUAUUUCUUUUCAACCAGAAGGGUGUUACAGGAGAAAUGUAUGAAGGGCGGAGGAUAUGCCCUCUUGUGAGAAUUCUGUCUCUUCCCUGCAGUUACUCAUUUUGAGAAUGUGGCUCCCAGUGUCUACAGUGGAGGUGGGCUC
rnacentral:lncRNA from 10 species